rnacentral:lncRNA from 1 species
CGUAAAUAAUUUUUGUAGCGUAAAAGCAAAAUAAAUUUGUACAUACAGUAACACAAAUAGUCAAGGUAUGUAAUUAAAUUUACAAUGACACGUGGAUCCCCAAAUGACUAAAAGUAAUGAAGGCUGUGAACCUACAGUUUUUGAGGAAGUAAAGCCAAAUGUAGCCUUCGACAAUAUCAGCUAUCUACAAACUAUCCUGAGCCUGAAAUGGGUGGAAAGGAGGGUGAUGAGAUUAUAUAAUCCCAGUGAGUAAACAAAUACCAUCUAAAAUAUCUAAAGCUGAGUAAAUGGAGACAGAUAAAAUAGAUUAGCAUAAAAAUGAUUCACAGCAUUUCAAACUCAUUUUAAUAAGAUAAAAUAGAUUCAUUUCACCCAAAAUAAAUAACGAGGUUUAUGAUUUCUUGAAAAGCUUGGCUUGUGCCAAAAUCAUUCUCAUACUCAGUUGUCAGGGAUACCUUGGCCUGAGGCUAUCCCAACCGAGUCCGCUAAGGCUGUUAAAAAGUCAUGUAUGCAUAAAUCAUGUUUUUUAUUUUGAAAACAUAGUUGUUCCUUGGCGUUGGCUGAGUUCACCCUCAAGUGAUGGUUUGGCGUGAAGUGAACUCUAAAGUUGUACCUUGAGAGUUACCCUACAUACCUCUCCGAUCGAGGUAAGAAUAUAACGGGAUUUUGUGCCCCUCAAAAAGGCUGGUCCAAAGAACUCGCCCACUGCAGCAAGCUAAACCCACCAUACAAUAAAAUUUGCAAUAGCAUGACAUGGCAAUAAUUUUAUUUUACAGCCUCUCGAGGCUAAUCAACAGUUCAUACAUUUUCAGCACAUUUACCAAUUCAACCAUUCAUGCCAAUAUUAUCAUAAGCCAUUCAAUUCAAACCAUGAUUUAUAACACAACAAUUAGUCUCCAAUUACUCCAUUUUCAAAACCAUCUUUCAAUUUCAAGACAAUUUUAUAAAAUCAUUUCAUUUAAUUACAUUUUGCUUAUAAAACAUAAAGAUUUACCAUUUAAACUCGUUUUUCUAUCAAAUCACAAAAACGAAUAAAAACUACUUUAGAUAAUUAAGACGAUAAUAAGGUUACUCAUUGUAAUGGGAAUCGAGUUCUGAGUACUCCGAUUCUUGAUCCUCGGGUACUAUCUCUUUACUUUUGCCAGAAAGCUCACCACCUAAACAUAAUACACAAUAAGCCAUUUACUACAUUUGUGCUAAAUUAUUAUAAAACCAAUUCAAACUCUAUACUAAUGCAUGAAAUGAAAUGCGAAUUGUUCGGAUCAUCGUCUAAACACGGUGUUUUACAUAAAUUCAAUUGUGUACCUAAAUAAAACGGUAUUGGCCUAAUUCGAUCUUUCACCCAAUUAAUUGGCCAAUAUGUCCAAUUUAACUCCAAUUAACUCCAUUUUUCUUCCAAUUCUCCAAACCAUCAAACACAAGUCAAAUAGCAUAAAAUUUAGUAAAAUCAUCUUCACAUUUUCUCUUGGGAAUUUCGGCCAUGGUGGGUGCAUCAAUACUAUGAUUUUUCCUACUUGAUUUUCUCACCAUAAUUCAUCAUUUCCUAACCAAUUCACUUGAAAUAAAAUCAAAAUCAUCAUCAAUAUUCCACAUGGAGAAUUCGGCCAAUGAGGGUUAUGGAAAAACAUGAAUUUUUCUUGCUUGAUUUUCAUGCUACACAUCACCAAUCAACUAAAAACACUAGAAUAUCUUAAAAUCUAACCAAAACAACCAUCAAAAUCUCUCUCUAAGUGUUCAGCCAAUAAGAGACCUAUCAUGAAAUCAUGUGAUUCAACCACGAAAAAUGCAAAAGAAUGUAUGGGAAAGGUAGAUCACAAGUCAAAAUCAAGAAAUUUUACCUUUGAUUGCUUGAUUACUUGAAAUCCACCAAUUUUCUCUUGAAUUUUCACUCUAGGGUUUUUGUUCUUUCUUUUCUUCCUUUGUUCUUGCUUUGGCCGGCCAUAAGAAUGAAUGUGGAAGAGUUCAAAUUGGCUUUAUAAAGGAAAAUAUUAAAUGGACAAAAAUUUACCAUGUGUCACCAUUCCAUUAGUCCAUGUGUCAUACUUACCCAUUAAGCAAUUUCUCUCCACCAUUUAAAUUUCCUCAAUUAUCCAUGAUAAUAUUGGGUAAAAUUCAUGUGCUGGAUAAGUGUUGGGUGGUGUAAGAUUCUGAUUUUACCCUUGGAUGACAAAAUGACUAUUUUACCC